rnacentral:rRNA from 1 species
AGAGUUUGAUCCUGGCUCAGGACGAACGCUGGCGGCGCGCCUAACACAUGCAAGUCGAACGAGCAAAGAGGAGCUUGCUUCUCUGAGCGAGUGGCGAACGGGUGAGUAACGCGUGAGGAACCUGCCUCAAAGAGGGGGACAACAGUUGGAAACGACUGCUAAUACCGCAUAAGCCCACGGGUCGGCAUCGACCAGAGGGAAAAGGAGCAAUCCGCUUUGAGAUGGCCUCGCGUCCGAUCAGCUAGUUGGUAAGGUAACGGCUUACCAAGGCGACGAUCAGUAGCCGGACUGAGAGGUUGAUCGGCCACAUUGGGACUGAGACACGGCCCAGACUCCUACGGGAGGCAGCAGUGGGGAAUAUUGCACAAUGGAGGAAACUCUGAUGCAGCGAUGCCGCGUGAGGGAAGAAGGUUUUAGGAUUGUAAACCUCUGUCUUCAGGGACGAAAAAAGACGGUACCUGAGGAGGAAGCUCCGGCUAACUACGUGCCAGCAGCCGCGGUAAUACGUAGGGAGCGAGCGUUGUCCGGAAUUACUGGGUGUAAAGGGAGCGUAGGCGGGAUCGCAAGUCAGAUGUGAAAACUAUGGGCUUAACCCAUAAACUGCAUUUGAAACUGUGGUUCUUGAGUGAAGUAGAGGUAAGCGGAAUUCCUAGUGUAGCGGUGAAAUGCGUAGAUAUUAGGAGGAACAUCAGUGGCGAAGGCGGCUUACUGGGCUUUAACUGACGCUGAGGCUCGAAAGCGUGGGGAGCAAACAGGAUUAGAUACCCUGGUAGUCCACGCCGUAAACGAUGAUUACUAGGUGUGGGGGGACUGACCCCUUCCGUGCCGCAGCAAACGCAAUAAGUAAUCCACCUGGGGAGUACGACCGCAAGGUUGAAACUCAAAGGAAUUGACGGGGGCCCGCACAAGCAGUGGAGUAUGUGGAUUAAUUCGAAGCAACGCGAAGAACCUUACCAGGUCUUGACAUCGUAUGCAUAGCUCAGAGAUGAGUGAAAUCUCUUCGGAGACAUAUAGACAGGUGGUGCAUGGUUGUCGUCAGCUCGUGUCGUGAGAUGUUGGGUUAAGUCCCGCAACGAGCGCAACCCUUACUGUUAGUUGCUACGCAAGAGCACUCUAGCAGGACUGCCGUUGACAAAACGGAGGAAGGUGGGGAUGACGUCAAAUCAUCAUGCCCCUUAUGACCUGGGCCUCACACGUACUACAAUGGCUGUCAACAGAGGGAAGCAAAGCCGCGAGGUGGAGCGAACCCCUAAAAGCAGUCUUAGUUCGGAUUGUAGGCUGCAACCCGCCUACAUGAAGUCGGAAUUGCUAGUAAUCGCAGAUCAGCAUGCUGCGGUGAAUACGUUCCCGGGCCUUGUACACACCGCCCGUCACGCCAUGGGAGUCGGUAACACCCGAAGCCUGUAGUCUAACCGCAAGGAGGACGCAGUCGAAGGUGGGAUUGAUGACUGGGGUGAAGUCGUAACAAGGUA